AUUGAACGCUGGCGGCAGGCCUAACACAUGCAAGUCGAGCGGAUGAAGGGAGCUUGCUCCUGGAUUCAGCGGCGGACGGGUGAGUAAUGCCUAGGAAUCUGCCUGGUAGUGGGGGAUAACGUCCGGAAACGGGCGCUAAUACCGCAUACGUCCUGAGGGAGAAAGUGGGGGAUCUUCGGACCUCACGCUAUCAAAUGAGCCUAGGUCGGAUUAGCUAGUUGGUGGGGUAAAGGCCUACCAAGGCGACGAUCCGUAACUGGUCUGAGAGGAUGAUCAGUCACACUGGAACUGAGACACGGUCCAGACUCCUACGGGAGGCAGCAGUGGGGAAUAUUGGACAAUGGGCGAAAGCCUGAUCAAGACAUGCCGCGUGUGUGAAGAAGGUCUUCGGAUUGUAAAGCACUUUAAGUUGGGAGGAAGGGCAGUAAGUUAAUACCUUGCUGUUUUGACGUUACCAACAGAAUAAGCACCGGCUAACUUCGUG
rnacentral:rRNA from 1 species